GGUCACGUGACGGCGUCUCACAAAGUCACGUGACGACGCGCCGCCAAUUAGUGCCGUAUAUAUAGUCCGGAAGGGACUACAUACCGGUAGCGGUGAGGGACGCACGGGAAGAGUCGCUGCAAGUAUGCAAAAGUUGUCGUUGUUGAAGUUUACAAAUGGAGAAAGUCUAAACAUUAUACAUACGUGGUCGGAUUAUAAGGGCCGUCCACCGGCGCAAUGCUGAACUAAAAAGAGCAGUGUUCGAUCACAUCUAUGGAAUUGGCCAGGUUUUUGAUGGCAAGCUAGGAACCCUGCAUUAAGGCAACCCGCCUGGAAGCUUGAAGCCCAGAUGAACUGAUGAGCUGUCAUCCACCUGCUGUGCUCUGAUCGGGCUGGUAGGAGGCUUUUUGUCCCUCAUUGGCCUUCAUACAAACUUCACUCCUUUCCUCCACCCCUGACCCUCUGGACACUCGGGCCAUUGGCCAUUGGACAAUUGUAUGUUUUGGGACUCUCAGUACAUUAGAUGAAUGAAUUUUGUAAAUUGAGCUCAUUGAAAUAUUGUAAAUUAAUGUUGUGAAUUUGUAUUGUUCUGUUUUUGCACUUUAUAAUACAGUAAACCUCGGAUAUAUCGGACUCUGAUAUAUCGGAAAUUCGCUCACAACGGACAGAUAAAAAAGAACCGAUUUUUCUGUAAUGCAUUUCCAAUAAAAAUUCAUUGCAUAUAUCGUAUUUUUUAUAACGGAUUUCGCCUAUUUCGGACAAAAUCUCCAGUCCCGUUCCAAUGCAUUUCCAUUAAAUUUCCCUCGCAUAUAUCGGAUGGCCGCAUCGUGGCGCUCCAAUUCGCCGAAUCGUGACAGGCCGCUAUACGACGUCGUUUGCAGCGUUUGCAGCGUUGCCUGCGCAUCCAGGUACAUUGGAAACAUAGUCAAGGAAGUGCCUUUUUAUAACGGAUAAAAUCCGAUUUACGCAUAUACCGGAUAUAAAUCCGAUAUAUGCGUAAAACUGAUAUUUUCCGGUAUAGGCAUAUAACAGAUUUCGCUUAUAUCGGACAAAACCAGUGGGAACAAUUGAAUCCGAUAUAUCCGAGGUUUACUGUAUAUGGUACCGCCACAGCUUCAAAUUGUGUGCUCGCCUCUUUUCCUCUCACUCCCAGAGCCGAAAUCUGGAUUUUCUGAUUCUAGCCCAGAUCUUACAAUUACCAUUGGGUUGUAUCUAAAGCUAAUGUUAAAUGUAAUGGCGCAUUGUACACGCUACAACUACUUAAGGGAAAAACCUUGGAAAAAAAACUAGAGUAGUUUUGUAUAGAGUUGCGCCCACUUUUAAUGAUGCUAACUGAGAUUCUGGUCUCCUGCGGAGACAAUAAUCAUGUCCACAGUAGAGCAUGUGUUUUUUUUUUUUAUAUUACACAUUCCCUUCUUGAUUUGGUUUCACGGUGCGAUCUGGUGGAGUAUAUUGUAAUAUUGUGAACUCAGCACUUGUACUGAGUGUACAUGUGCUAUUUUUAUUUACACUAUUAUGUAAAGCAGUAAUUGAGAAGUGACUUUUCUCUCAUACAGGAUGUGUGCGUUAGGGAUGAGUUGUUAUAAAUGAAUAUCCUUUAUGGAUAAUGCAUUUUUUGCCAGAUAUGAGUAUGAAACAAGUACAUUGGUCAUUAUCCGUAUUCGCGUUAAAAGAAAAUGCUCAUUAUGUAUUCACUCUUUAUGCUGUGAUUGGCCAGUCACACAGUGAAGAAGGCUGACAGAUGAUUUCCCUGUUUGCCAUCACUACAUGUUUGCAUCAAUCACCAAAUUCACACAGAUCAUUAAAAAAUAAUAAAAUAGUCUUACAGAUCCCUUACACCAGGGGUGCUCAUUAAGUCGAUCGCGAUAUACCGGUCGAUCGCGGAGGUGGUACUGGUCGAUCGCUGGUCGAUCGCGGCGUGACAUUACAAAAAUAUCAUCCCAGCAUCAAUGCCGUCACUUGAUUGAUAUACAGGGCAGCCAUUCAGAUGACAACUGAAUGUUGCCCUUCGGGCGACCAAUCAAAUCAAACAACGUCUCUAAGUGCAGCAGAACUUACGAUGUCAGCCUAUCAUCCAUCACCGUUACUUGAUUGACAUACAGGACAACCAGUCAGAUGACAACUGAAUUUUGACCUUUAGGUCACCGCUCAUGCGUAAACAACGAUGCAAAGUGCUAAGCUAGUCGGCGAAUUGCGAGAUUUUAAGCCCUCGCUAAAGUUUAUGGUCACUAAAAUGAGUGAAGGAGCUGGACCAAGUAAAAAGGCAAAAACUGGACCAAGUAAAAAGGCAAAAAACAUAUCACUUCCAUACGGAUAUAGAAUAUUAUACGGAUAUUAUGAUACGGAUAUUAUCCAUGACUGAUAAACAUUUGGAAGUGUGCUUGAGGCUGGCUAUCAGCAGCUACUGUGCGGACUAUGCAUCCCUGGCUGGUUCAAUUCAGUGCAAGUCAUCAAAGUAAACUCAGGUAAUUACAAAAAAUGUUAAUAGUUAAUUAUGUGUGUUUUGCAAUAUUGGCUCAUUUGGUUAUGUAAGGUACAUCAACAUACAUUGUACGUACAAAUAAUCCUCAAUACAUUUGAAAAUAAAUAGAUGUUUUGCA